UCCUUGAUAGUCUAGUGGUCAGGAUAUCUGCUUGUCAUCGAUUCAUUCGAACGAACUCGCAGGGGACCUGGGUUCAAUUCCCAGUCAGGGAG
rnacentral:tRNA from 1 species